AUCCUUUUUUUGGUUCAUAAGUAUGAUGAUUGGGUAUUUAUGUGGUUGUGUGACAUGUGCCACCCUCAGACCUUGUUAUGCAUUGGCAUGUUACCUGUCUGACA